CAAUCCACAAACAUAGUACUGCCCACAGGGUUUUGAAAUACAACCAAUCAAUCCGUACAAUACACACAGACACUCCCACACAAAAUCCUCCCCUCUGCCUGUGAUAUGAUUACUGAACACAAUGGUUAAUCUAAUUAUCACAGGCGGAGAAAUACAGUAUCAUAAAACACAUCACAGGGACUCCAAAACAUGCAAUAACCCCGUAUAUCAUUGGAACCGGGGGAUCUGGGUGAACCACAUAUCCAAAAUUCACCCAGAUCCGUUCAGUAGUUUGGAAGAUGCAGUUUAAUGCAGAUUCCGCAGAAC